rnacentral:rRNA from 1 species
UAGUCAUACGCUCGUCUCAAAGAUUAAGCCAUGCAUGUGUAAGUAUAAAUAAUUUUACUUUGAAACUGCGAAUGGCUCAUUAUAUCAGUUAUAGUUUAUUAGAAAUAUUUUACUACUUGGAUAACCGUAGUAAUUCUAGGGCUAAUACAUGAGUAAAACCUCAACUUCGGAAGAGGUGUGUUUAUUAGUAUGAAAACCAUAUAUCUUCGGAUAUAUUAGUGAGUAAUAAUAACCUUUCAUAUCGUAUGGGGUAAGAUAACGAUAGUUCUUUCAAGUUUCUGCCCUAUCAGCUUUCGAUGGUAGUAUAUGGGACUACCAUGGCAGUAACGGGUAACGAAGAAUUUGGGUUCGAUUUCGGAGAGGGAGCCUGAGAGAUGGCUACCACAUCCAAGGAAGGCAGCAGGCGCGUAAAUUACCCAAUCCUGACAUAGGGAGGUAGUGACAAUAAAUCACAAUGCGGAACUUUUAGUUUUGCAAUUGGAUUGAGAACAAUGUACAAAUGUUAUCGAUAAACAAUUGGAGGGCAAGUCUGGUGCCAGCAGCCGCGGUAAUUCCAGCUCCAAUAGCGUAUAUUAACGUUGUU